UAUCAAUCAUAUCAAUCUAAAAUAUCUUUAUUCAUGUUAUCUACAGACGUGGAAUAGCUGCACAACCUCUUUAUGCUGGAUAUUGUAACCAUGAGAACAUGUAAAAAAUGGAGAGGAAAAAGGCCACAGCAAUCUGUACUACAAUCAACUUUAUUUUGAAAUCAUGUAAAAUAAGAUAUUAGACUUUUUUAAAUAAAAUAUUUUUAUUGAUUGAACCUUUGACCCUCUAUCUUAUUACAUAUAGAGGCCUGGCAUCUUUCUCGUGAGACAAGCUUAAAGACACAAAAGAAACACGACUUCGUGAUACCACUCUUCCGAAGGCUACUUAUAGUAAUAACUUCAUAGAUGAACAGCAUGAUUCAGGUUAUUGAUUGUCUAUUCAUUGGCAUAUUAUAUCCCCUGAAUUAAGAAGAAUAUGUACUUUUCAGUUACAAAGUACCUACCAUAAUUUCUGCUAAGGGAACAAAUCCAAUAACAACUUUGUUGUCCUGGCGAGUCUGAAUUUCCUGAAUGUUUCCUCUUCUUUGUGCCAGAUCUGCCAGGACAGGGCUGAGAUAAUCUCUAGCUACUGUAACCUCAAGAUUCAUCAGAGGCUCCAAAACUUGCUUAUCAGCUUUCUUCAGAGCCUAAAGAAAUUAAAGAAUGUUAACUUAUCUUUCAUAAAUAAAAACUUAAAAUAAAUACAGCCUAGAGC
rnacentral:sRNA from 1 species